ACGUAGGAGGCGAGCGUUAUCCGGAUUUACUGGGCGUAAAGCGCACGCAGGCGGCUUUGUGCGUCGGAUGUGAAAGCUCCUGGCUUAACUGGGAGAGGCCAUUCGAUACGGCAAGGCUUGAGGUUGGGAGAGGGGUGCGGAAUUCCCGGUGUAGUGGUGGAAUGCGUAGAUAUCGGGAGGAACACCAGUGGCGAAGGCGGCACCCUGGCCCACACCUGACGCUGAGGUGCGAAAGCGUGGGUAGCAAACAGGAUUAGAUACCCUGGUAGUCCACGCCGUAAACGAUGUCAACUAGGUGUUGGUGGUGUUACACUAUCAGUGCCGUAGCUAACGCGUUAAGUUGACCGCCUGGGGACUACGAGCGCAAGCUUA
rnacentral:rRNA from 1 species